AUUAAUGUUUGAAGCGUUGAAUAGCUUCAGUGAGUUGUCAGUGGUCUAUAGUGGAGCUGCAGAAUAAGGUGGCAACAUGAUGAUGCUUGUCCUGGCAACUCUCAACAUUCUCUUCAUUGUUAUUGAAGGAUACCCGCCACCUUCACCAGAUUCUCCACCCAACUUCUGGGGUGUUAAUGAUGAUGCACCAAGGCAAUUUUUUUGGAUUCCUCAAUCACCAGGGCAAUCUUCAACAUCACAACAGCAUUCAUCAUCACGACAAUCUCCACCCAAUUCUCCACCAGCAAAUCUCUAUGGAUCUAGAUACCCAUCACCACCAACCUAUACAUAUUCCACUGGCUAUUCACUGCCUGGCACGCCCAAUACUCGUCCUUGGAAUUCACCACCACAACCGGCUUCACCACAACAACAGCCUUCACCACCACAACCGGCUUCACCACAACGACAGCCUUCACCACCACAACCGGCUUCACCACCACUCUAUGGAUCUAGAUACCCAUCACCACCAACCUAUACAUAUUCCACUGGCUAUUCACUGCCUGGCACGCCCAAUACUCGUCCUUGGAAUUCACCACCACAACCGGCUUCACCACAACAACAGCCUUCACCACCACAACCGGCUUCACCACAACGACAGCCUUCACCACCACAACCGGCUUCACCACAACGACAGCCUUCACCACCACAACAUGCUCCACCACAACCUUCACCACAACGACAAUCUUCACCACGAACACGAAAACGAAGACAAAGGGAAGUUACAAUGCCUCCAAACACAAUUGUAGAAUUAAGUGACAUAAUGGAUUACAAUUUCGAUGGAAAGAUAAAUUAUUCUGAUUAUAAACGUAUGCAGGAAGGUCUACUCUAUAGGAACCCAGCUGUACACGAUCAUCUGCAAAAGAUAUUUGGUAAAAAUCUUGAGCAUGACAGAUCUGCAAGCUUCAUGACUAAAACAGCAUUUGGAAGUUGUCCUAUCGAUCUCGCCACAUUGAAUGGAGGAAAACCAUUCACUCAAGGAGAUAUUCAAAGAAUUUUCAAAAUCUCAUUUGAUGUAGCUACAGCUAUUAUAGUUUCUGGAAACUCGUCAGUUACAGCAGAAGAUCUUGCAAGUUACUUGAAGAGCAGCCGCAGAAAUUUUAAUUAACUUGGAGACAACAGACACUUUUGGAAUCGAAUCUCCAACACACAAAUAUGCAGUAAUAGCAAAUAUGUUUGUUUUUCUAUUUACUUUAUCCUGUAGUAAGCUAUAAUUAUUUUAAAAGAGUAGAUUGAGAUGAUUUACAAGCUUUGCAAUUGUUGUUAAUUUGAAAUAUUCAAUAUUAUUGAUGAUUAAUUCAUGAAUACCUUAAAUGCUGAAUUCAUAUUGAUUUCUAUGCAAGAAAAAACUAAAAAUAUUUCACUUUGAUUUCAUGAUUUAAUGAAAUACUGAAACUGCCGGUUUUAAAUGAUGACUAUUUUUGCAUUUGUAAAAUCCAUUUCUGAAUAUUAGUUAGCAAUCUGGGGUGGGACUAUUGACAGUCCCAGACAGCUGACCGAGUAUCGAUCAGCUGGUUGGGUUGUGGCAAGAUUCAACUCGCGCAUCAUAAUAAAAUGGUUGGAUAUAUUUUGUUCUAAAGAUGGUUAAUGAAUCCAAACUGAAGUAAAGUAAAGUAAACUAAUUAAUCAUGUAAUUAUUGUUUCAGCUUGCUAGUGCUCACUAGCAUUUUUUAUAACUCUGAAUACACACACAAAUCUCAAAUUGAAUAAAAGAAUUUUAAUUCAUAAUGUGAUAACUUUAUUGUUUUUAGAAAAUUGACUUGGUUGUUGAAGAAGAAUCCUUCAGCCAUGAGGGCUAUAGGUCUAUAGUAGGUAGCCUACAAAUAUUACUCAAAUUGACUAAAUCAGUCCAAGUGUAUACAAACUUAUUCAUUAUAAUAAAAUAUUAUGUAGGCUAUCUAAUACUUUAAAUUGAAUAUUUUAUUACUCAAUUAUAUUUCUUCAUGAUCUUCCAAUAAUUUGUCAACUUUGUGGGGCUAUAGGAGGGUAGAAAUAACAUGGUUAGUUAGUAACAUAGCCUGGAAACUCAUUUUUAUUGAUAUUUCAAAGAUAAAAAGGUAGGUUAGGGGGUUAGUUUUUGUUUAUGAAUGGCAAAAAUAUGCUGGAAUAUUAAUACUAUACUUAUUCAAAAAACUCUUAAAAAAUAUACUUUAUUCUUUAUUUACUGCAACUCCUUAUCCUUUCAGAGACCUGCCAAAAUUAUGUGAAUUAUUCCCAAUAAUCAUAAUAAUUUCAUUUGUUAACAGCACAGCUAUAGGCUACAAAUGAAUUUUGUGGAAGGGAUUGGGCUCCAGCUUGGAUUGGGAUUCACGUUAAAUAUGUUCAGUAAUGUUUCAAAGAUAGAAGGAUGGGUUAAGGGGUUGAAGUUUUUGCUUUGAAAUUGCAAUAUACUGGGAGAGGUUAGGGUCCAGGUUGAUUCAUAUCAAUGUUUCAAAGGUGAAAAAGUACUUUACUCCUUCGUUCCUGUUAGGGGGUAGGGUGGAUAGGGAAUAUGUUUCAACAAUAGGUUAGAGGGUUAGGUUUUCUAAAUGACAAUAUGCUGGUUUUGUUCAAAAUGUCUUGAUAGUUUUAUGUAUUGAACACAACGAAUUUGCUGGAAACAGAAAUCUCAAAUAAUGAAUUUUGAGUUGACAGAAAGCCUACGUACCGGUACUUGAAGUAUUGAGUUUUACCAGUUGUCCAACUUUAUAUUGACAGACUCAUCUACUUUGGACUGUCUUAUUUAUUCUAAAAACAGUUGUGACUGAAAGCUGGUUUUUUUAUUAGAAUAACAUACUGAAUUGAUUGAAACCCAAAAUUUCGUGACAGGUAUAGGGGCUCACAGUCUCAACUUACACCUAGCAAUCUGUUUCAAAAAGGUUGAUAAAAUAGUUCUUUAUUACACUGAUAAGUAAGUUGAUGAAUCAACAUGAGUCUCCUACUGGACAUUACUUUGUAAAAUAGAUUGAAAGUAGUCACAUUCAUUUAAAAUCAUUAGAUUCUACAUAACUAGGUACCAUACAUCUGUCAUACGGCAAUAGUUCAAUAUAAUUAUUUAUUUCAGUAGAUAAUAAAAGAGUGCUAUAUGUACCAUGUUUUAUGUAAAUAUUUAUUUAUUAUAAUUAAUAAUUUUGUUGCUACGACCUAAGAUAUAAUGUUUUACAAAGGGGUUAUGUUACUGUUCAUAUUGUAAUGUAAUUCCACACAUUGUAUUGAUUCCACAUUGCUAUUAUUGAUUUGUGAUUCCACAAAAAUCUGUAAUAAUACAGUAUCACAAAUAUUCAAAAUAGCCAACUUCAAAAACGAGAAUAGGAAUUAAAAAAUACAGAAAAUAUAGUUUUUUUAAGAAUUAUGAUGUGUAUUACAAUUUGUAUGAUAUAACAUAGGUAUAGAAUUAAAUAUCAAAAAUAUGUUAUUUUUCUUGUAAAAUUGGUAUUGAAUCCUUUCUUCAAAUUUGAAGAAAUGAAUGAAUAUUGUUCUUGACUGACAAUGCCCAAGUUUAGCACUUACAUACACAACUAUAGAGUGAUUCAUGUUAUAAAGUCAGCACCUGAUUAACAUUGGUGUUGCUAUCCUUGUCUGUCAUUGGACCAAGCGGACAGCUCUAUCCUUCUAAUGACUGUCAAAUUGUUUCCAGGUUAUGAAGAAAUAUAAUGAACCAGCAUUUCAAUCUUAAUUAUGGAAAUCAACAAUUGAAUCAUGAGAAGAUAUAUUUUCUUGGCUAAUAUUACAUAUUUUAGAAAGAAUAAACCAUUAUUAUUCGAUUAUAAUUAUUAUAAUCAUAAGAUAUAUCUGAAUAGCUUGAAUCACAGCUAUCCACACUAUAGGGCAGUGGGAACAGGAAAACGGCAACAAUGCAUUCUUAUAGAUCCCACUGGCUUCAUAAUAUGAAUCUCACUAUAGGGACAGUUUUUCAAAACUGUAGAUCUCUCCAGAUGUCAUUAAGAUGGUUCAGUAAUGCACUAUUAUCAAUAAUAUUUCAUGUUUGGAAUUAGUUCAUUUUUGUUUUCAGCAGAUAAAUGAAAAUACAUUUCGAAAUAUGGUAAUUUGUUUUAUUGUUUGUUAUUGAGUUUUAAUGCUAUGUAGGAAUUCCAUAUUUGAUUGAAAUGUUGUAUUUAAUUUGAUGUGAGAAGUUAGAGUUGAUUUUCCAUUUGAGUUAAUUCUCAAAUGUGUAGUAGCAUUCUUAAGUAUAUAUAUUAGAAAGGUUGUAUUCAUUGAAGUAAGAAGUUUGAGUUGAUUUUCCAUUUGAGUUAAUUCUCAAAUGUGUAGUAGCAUUCUUAAGUACCUAUAUAUUGAAAAGGUUACCUUGGAAAAGUUGUAUACAUUGAAGUAAGAAUUUUGAGUUGAUUUCCCAUUCGAGUCAAUUCUCAAAUGUGUAGUAGCAUUCCUAAGUAUAUAUAUUAGAAAGAUUACCUUAGAAAGGUUGUAUACAUUGAAGUAAGAAGUUUGAGUUGAUUUUCAAUUUGAGUUAAUUCUCAAAUGUGUAGUAGCAUUCUUAAGUAUAUAUAUUUUUUGUGUGUUUGUGUGUCUUUAAUUGAUUAAAUAUAUAAU
rnacentral:misc_RNA from 1 species